rnacentral:tRNA from 1 species
GGGGUUCUGGUCUAGUGGUAUGACGCUCCUUUAGCAAUGCGAUACGCUAGAGGUCGGUGCCACAGUACCUUCCUGCAAAGGACACGGGAAAUGGGGACCUCGAACAUGCGGUCUGCAGAGUAGGAGAGGUGACAGGUUCGAUUCCUGUGUACUCCA